GCAGAGUGGUGUCUAACGGCUUGAUAAACAGACUGUUAUUCUGCAGACGCACAUCGCCUUUCGCGGUGGUCAUUUCGCCAUCUAAAGGGAUGUUAAGAUGUAAGCGAGCGCUCACAUCCCCGUCCAGCUGCAGGGAAUCCAGCGCCGCUCCCAGGGUCUCUUUCAGCGGCGUGGUGUUGAAAUAAGGUCCCACCUCUUUGCCCGGGCCUUUGAUAUCGGCAUCAAUCAACAGCUUUUCAGCGGUAUAGUCCGGGAUCGCGGCAUCGAGAUUGCUGGCGGUGACAUUGCCGAGCAUCGCUUUAUCCGCCCGCAUCCACAACCCGUUAUUGAUGAAGUUGAGGUCGAUGUUCAGCCCGGUCAGCGCCGGCCAGUCCGGCUGGAAGGCAAAAGUGGCGUUCUUCAGCGGG
rnacentral:ncRNA from 1 species